UACAGAGACUGCAAGCGUUAUUCGGAUUCACUGGGCGUAAAGGGUGCGCAGGCGGUUUGGUGUGUCAGAUGUGAAAUCCCGAGGCUUAACCUCGGAACUGCGUCUGAAACUACUCGACUAGAGUACUGGAGAGGGAAACGGAAUUCACGGUGUAGCAGUGAAAUGCGUAGAUAUCGUGAGGAACACCAGAGGCGAAGGCGGUUUCCUGGACAGUUACUGACGCUCAGGCACGAAAGCAUGGGGAGCAAAAGGG
rnacentral:rRNA from 1 species